AGAGCGCAAGGGGAAUGCCUUGGCACCAAGAGCCGAAGAAGGACGCAACUAACUGCGAAAAGCUGCGGGGAGUCGUAAGUAGACAACGAUCCGCAGGUAUCCGAAUGGAGCAAUCCGUCAGGAGUCAAGUCCUGACAUCAUAUACUGAAUACAUAGGUAUAUGAGGGGAACCGCCUGAACUGAAACAUCUAAGUAGGGCGAGGAAAAGAAAUCAACCGAGAUUCCGCGAGUAGUGGCGAGCGAAAGCGGAAGAGGCCAAACCGAAUGUAGAAAUAUGUUCGGGGUAAGGACAGCAUAAUGCAUUGUGGAAACCUAGUCGAAUGAGAUGGGAAGCUCAACAAAACAGUGUGAGAGUCACGUAGACGAAAGGACGAAGCAGCAGGCUGUAUCCGGAGUACCGCGGGACACGAGGAAUCCCGUGGGAAGAUGGGGGGACCAUCCUCCAAGCCUAAAUACUACUUGGUGACCGAUAGCGAAAAGUACUGUGAAGGAAAGGUGAAAAGAACCCCGGGAGGGGAGUGAAAUAGAACCUGAAACCUUGUGCUUACAAGCACCGAGAGCUCAUUAACGAGUGAUCGGGUACCUUUUGUAGAAUGGUCCGGCGAGUGAAUGUAACUAGCAAGGUUAAGCACUUAAGGUGCGAAGCCGUAGCGAGAGCAAGUCUGAAAAGGGCGUAAUAAAGUUAGUUGUAUUCGACCCGAAACCGGGUGACCUAGCCAUGUCCAGGUUGAAGUGGAGGUAAAACUCCAUGGAGGACCGAACCGACUCCCGUUGAAAUGGUAGCGGAUGAGGUGUGGCUAGCGGAGAAAUUCCAAUCGAACCCGGAGAUAGCUGGUUCUCUCCGAAAUAGCUUUAGGGCUAGCCUCAAUUAACAUUACCGCAGGUAAAGCACUGAAUGAGCUAGGGGGCGAAAGCUUACUGAACUCUAUCAAACUCAGAAUGGCGGAUAAUGAAUGAUUGGGAGUCACACUACGUGAGAUAAGUUUCGUGGUGGAAAGGGAAACAGCCCAGACCCACAGCUAAGGUCCCAAAGUACGGUUAAGUGGAAAAGGAUGUGGGGUUGCACAGACAACCAGGAUGUUGGCUUAGAAGCAGCCACUCAUUAAAAGAGUGCGUAAUAGCUCACUGGUCGAGUGACUCUGCGCCGAAAAUUUAACGGGGCUAAACUAUACACCGAAGCUUGGGAUGUACCGCAAGGUAUAUGGUAGGAGAGCGUUCUGUAAGGGGCGAAGUCGUAGCGAAAGCAGCGGUGGACUUUACAGAAGUGAGAAUGCCGGAAUGAGUAGCGAGAAAUAUGUGAGAAUCAUAUUGGCCGAAAGUCUAAGGUUUUUGGAGGAAGGUUCGUCCGCUCCAAGUAAGUCGGGAGCUAAGGUGAGGCCGAAAGGCGUAGCCGAUGCACAUACGGUAGAUAUUCCGUAACCGUCGAAGAAUUAAAGCACAGGGACAUCUGAGGAAGACAUAACCCGGGCGUUGGUAGACCCGGGCGUAAGGGACCGAAAAUAAGUAGGGAAGUAUGUUGGAAUUAGGGCGAGAAAAGCUGUGUGUAAAUUCAAGAUGCCCGUACCGCAAACCGACACAGGUAGAUAGGAAGAGAAUUCUAAGGCCAACGGGAGAAGGGUAGUUAAGGAACUCGGCAAAUUGACCCCGUAACUUAGGGAAAAGGGGUGCUCACGAAGGUGAGCCGCAGAGAAUAGGCCCAGGCGACUGUUUAGCAAAAACACAGGUCUCUGCCAAAUCGAAAGAUGAAGUAUAGGGGCUGACACCUGCCCGGUGCUGGAAGGUUAAGAGGAAGUGUGCAAGCACUGAAUUGAAGCCCCAGUAAACGGCGGCCGUAACUAUAACGGUCCUAAGGUAGCGAAAUUCCUUGUCGGGUAAGUUCCGACCCGCACGAAUGGCGUAACGACUUGUGAGCUGUCUCAACAGGAGGCCCGGUGAAAUUGAAGUAUGUGUGAAGAUGCACAUUACCCGCGACUGGACGGAAAGACCCCGUAGAGCUUUACUGUAACCUGACAUUGGAUCUUGAUAACGGAUGCACAGGAUAGGUGGGACGCUGGGAGACGAGGACUUUGGUUUUCGUGGAGCGGCCGUUGGGAUACCACUCUUCUGUUAUUGAGAUUCUAACCUCAAGCCGUGAGCCGGAUGAGAGACAGUGUCAGGCGGACAGUUUGACUGGGGCGGUCGCCUCCGAAAGAGUAACGGAGGCGCCCAAAGGUACCCUCAGAAUGGAUGGAAACCAUUCGAAGAGCGCAAAGGCAGAAGGGUGCCUGACUGCGAGAUUGACAAAUCGAGCAGAGACGAAAGUCGGGCUUAGUGAUCCGGCGGUAUUGAGUGGAAAAGCCGUCGCUUAACGGAUAAAAGCUACCUCGGGGAUAACAGGCUGAUCUCCCCCAAGAGUCCACAUCGACGGGGAGGUUUGGCACCUCGAUGUCGGCUCAUCGCAUCCUGGGGCUGUAUUCGGUCCCAAGGGUUUGGCUGUUCGCCAAUUAAAGCGGCACGCGAGCUGGGUUCAGAACGUCGUGAGACAGUUCGGUCCCUAUCCAUCGUGGGCGUAGGAGUCAUGAGAGGAGCUGUUCCUAGUACGAGAGGACCGGAAUGGACGCACCACUGGUGCAACUGUUGUCGUGCCAACGGCAUAGCAGGGAAGCGAAGUGCGGAUGGGAUAAACGCUGAAGGCAUCUAAGCGUGAAGCCCACCUCAAGAAUAAGACUCCACAAUAGACCCCUGGAGGACUACCAGGUAGAUAGGUCAUCGGUGGAAGCGCUGUAAGGCGUGCAGCUUGAUGAUACUAAUCGGUCGAAAGCUUCAUUU
rnacentral:rRNA from 1 species